AUUGAACGCUGGCGGCAGGCCUAACACAUGCAAGUCGAGCGGAGCGGCGGUGGGGUGAGUAAUGCCUAGGAAUCUGCCUGGUAGUGGGGGAUAAGGUCCGGAAACGGGCGAUAAUACCGCAUACUAUCAGAUGAGCCUAGGUCGGAUUAGCUAGUUGGUGGGGGAAAGGCCUACCAAGGCGACGAUCCGUAACUGGUUUGAGAGGAUGAUCAGUCACACUGGAACUGGGCAACGGGCCAGACUCCUACGGGAGGCAGCAGUGGGGAAUGUUGGACAAUGGGCGAAAUCCUGAUCCAGCCAUGCCGCGUGUGUGAAGCAGGUCUUCGGAUUGUAAAGCACUUUAAGUUGGGAGGCGUUACCAGCAGAAUAAGCACCGGCUAACUUCGUGCCAGCAGCCGCGGUAAUAC
rnacentral:rRNA from 1 species